GUACCUUCAAGCUCUGCUUGGUGUUGGGUGUUUGUCCCGCCUUUGUGCGUGGACUCGCCUUAAAGCAAUUGGCAGCCGACGUAUUGUUUCGGAGCGCAGCACAAAUUGCGCUUUGUAGCUAUUACGACAGCAUCCAUCAAGCCUUUUUUCAC
rnacentral:misc_RNA from 2 species